rnacentral:rRNA from 1 species
AUGCGGAGGGAUCAUUACCGAGUUUACAACUCCCAAACCCAAUGUGAACCAUACCAAACUGUUGCCUCGGCGGGGUCACGCCCCGGGUGCGUCGCAGCCCCGGAACCAGGCGCCCGCCGGAGGGACCAACCAAACUCUUUUCUGUAGUCCCCUCGCGGACGUUAUUUCUUACAGCUCUGAGCAAAAAUUCAAAAUGAAUCAAAACUUUCAACAACGGAUCUCUUGGUUCUGGCAUCGAUGAAGAACGCAGCGAAAUGCGAUAAGUAAUGUGAAUUGCAGAAUUCAGUGAAUCAUCGAAUCUUUGAACGCACAUUGCGCCCGCCAGUAUUCUGGCGGGCAUGCCUGUCCGAGCGUCAUUUCAACCCUCGAACCCCUCCGGGGGGUCGGCGUUGGGGACCUCGGGAGCCCCUAAGACGGGAUCCCGGCCCCGAAAUACAGUGGCGGUCUCGCCGCAGCCUCUCCUGCGCAGUAGUUUGCACAACUCGCACCGGGAGCGCGGCGCGUCCACGUCCGUAAAACACCCAACUUCUGAAAUGUUGACCUCGGAUCAGGUAGGAAUACCCGCUGAACUUAAGCAUAUCAAUAAAACCAGAGGAAA